CGGAGGAUCCAAGCGUUAUCCGGAAUCAUUGGGUUUAAAGGGUCCGUAGGCGGUUUGGUAAGUCAGUGGUGAAAGCCCAUCGCUCAACGGUGAACGGCCAUUGAUACUGCCAGACUUGAAUUAUUAGGAAGUAACUAGAAUAUGUAGUGUAGCGGUGAAAUGCUUAGAGAUUACAUGGAAUACCAAUUGCGAAGGCAGGUUACUACUAAUGGAUUGACGCUGAUGGACGAAAGCGUGGGUAGCGAACAGGAUUAGAUACCCUGGUAGUCCACGCCGUAAACGAUGGAUACUAGCUGUUGGGAGCGAUCUCAGUGGCUAAGCGAAAGUGAUAAGUAUCCCACCUGGGGAGUACGUUCGCAAGAAUG
rnacentral:rRNA from 1 species